UUCGAGUUCUGAUCAGCUAGUCGUGUCUGCAGAGGGCUCGGCAAGAUCAGAGGCCCUGCUGGUGAGCACCGUACCCUGGAAAGACGUGUCUUUGCAGGCUCAGCCCACAUCUCAGCCCACAUCUCACGGCAGAAGCAAGGCUAUCCCAGUCAGCACGGUUCAAGAGGAACAAUGACAACUCGGGUCUUCAGGAGUAAGACAAACGGGGCCCUGAUCCAUGAAAGGAUGUUUUCUUAGAAGAGAGGACACAAAGGGCAAGGGAUUGGUCACACAUAUUUAUAUUUAUGGGCUUUUCUUGAAGAUUUCUGGCUUUAACAUCAUGCAAAGAAACAUUUUCUCAGCACCAAUAUGUCAAGGUAACUUUCUAACUGCAUAGAAGUUACAUCCACAUCUCUGAAGCAACAGUGGCCAGGGUGACUCCAUCUGCAACCAUGUAGCCUGUUCACAACUUUUCAGAAUGCAGUUUUCACAGUGACUCUCAUUAAAUCCGAGCAGAUAAUCUCCAUCAGACUACUGCUCCUUGGCCUGGAAGAGGAGUGGGAGGACCCAGCGGUUGCUGUCCACAGAUCCUGGACACUUUGAGGACCAUUGUGUUAGGUCAGAAACAACACCUCCCUGGGAAUAUGAGUAUGGCAGCUACGUCUCUCCUCAGGGGAGAAGAGGGAGGCUGAGGGGAUCGCCCCUUGGCUUUGCUUGCCUUGGCAGGGGCAAAUCUAGGACCCCUGCUCAUGGGAUGGUACCGCCCACAUCCACGAUGGGUCAUCCCUUUUCAGUUAACCUCUCUGGAAAUGCCACCUCAGACAUGCCUGUAGAUGUAUCCUCUAGCUGGCCUAAGCUUGGAUCAUCUUCCUGAAACCGAGUGGAAGUCAGUUCAUCACCUGGGCUGCUGGGUCCUCUAGUGUGGCACCAGGUUUUUAAGAGAUGUGAACAGUCUAAAUCCCUGAUAACUCCUGCUAUGGCUGCUGCACGCCCAAGGUCAUCCUGGUCCUGCAGCAGCUAUGAAUGAAUGGUUUCAACCCACAGCCCCUGGCAAAGCUUGCCUGGAUCUGGCUGCAUUUCCAGGAGGGGCAGGAAUCCCAGGCAGGCAGCAUCUUAGAAAAGAUUUGGUUUUAUUUUAGUAUGUGUGUGUGCAUGCAUGCCUGGGUUGAUGGUUGGCUUCAAGGACAAGAUGGUAUUCCCACUACUAUACACUGGCAUCAUGUAGUCCUCAUAAUUGGGCACAUCCCUGAAGAGGUGGAAGAAUUCUGCAUUGACUCAGCUGGACUUUUAUAUUCUUACAGGGAAAUGAUGGCCUCACACUGAAAUAAACUUGAUUUCUGAUGCAAUGAGGCAAUCUUUGGGACUGGCACAGGACGUCGAGGACUAUGAUUCAUGCCUGCUGCACAUAUUACAAUAAAGUCCUUUUUUUUUUU